UACGAAGGGGGCUAGCGUUGCUCGGAAUUACUGGGCGUAAAGGGCGCGUAGGCGGAUAGUUUAGUCAGAGGUGAAAGCCCAGGGCUCAACCUUGGAACUGCCUUUGAUACUGGCUAUCUUGAGUAUGGGAGAGGUGUGUGGAACUCCGAGUGUAGAGGUGAAAUUCGUAGAUAUUCGGAAGAACACCAGUGGCGAAGGCGACACACUGGCCCGAUACUGACGCUGAGGCACGAAAGCGUGGGGAUCAAACAGG
rnacentral:rRNA from 1 species